rnacentral:lncRNA from 1 species
AACAAUGGUUACUAUAUACUAGUGUAGUGACCCGCGCGAUUCGACAAGUAAAUAUAUUAUAAUCUUUUAAAAUUUAAAUUUUAAAUCUUAUAUUUCUAUAAGUUAUUUUGUAGAAAGUAAAACACAUUUACUUUAAAAGUUUUAGUAAUUUUAAAGUAUAUUGAAAAGUAUGAAGAUUUUUUUUUUUUAACAUUUUAGUUUUUUACAUUGAAGCAUCACAAUAGAUAUCAAAUCACAUCUAUUUCCGACAAUUUAAUUUAGAUGCCUUAUUAUAUAGGUAGUGACGUGUAGAUUUAAUCAGAAACAAUAGAAAAUAUAUUUAGCAAACAAAUUUCAAUAUAUCCAUUAGAUUGCGCUAAGUAUGGCAUUAGUUUGUAUAAUAAUUAAUCAUUUCAAAAAUUCUAAACCCUAAUAUAAACAAAUCUAUCAAAAUUUUCAGUACAAUCAAAUCAUUAUACAAUCUAUAUCUAUACCUAUACAUUAUUUUUCAUGAAGUCUUGCCACGUGGCGGUCCCUCCUUUAUCCUUAACCUUCUCCUCUCUUCUCUAAUCACAACCCACACUCUUCAUCUCCCCACCGAGUUACUAACGCAUCAUUAAUUUUAAUAAUUACGAUCUUAAACCCACAUUCUUCAUCUCCCCACCAACAAGUUACUAACGCAUCAUUAAUUUUAAUAAUUACGAUGAUCCACACAAUUAGCAUCACUAAAACCCCAUCAUCAUCAUCUCCUCAUUCUCCGAAACCAAAUACCACACUCCAACAAUGUCCUAUGUUACAAACCAACUCUUCUUUCUAUUAUUCUUAUUAUUAUUCUCGAACGCGAGUACGAACCCGUCAACGCCAUUCG